rnacentral:rRNA from 1 species
UACGUAGGGUGCAAGCGUUGUCCGGAAUUAUUGGGCGUAAAGAGCGUGUAGGCGGCUCGAUUAGUCCGCUGUGAAAGUCCAGGGCUCAACCCUGGAAUGCCGGUGGAUACUGUCGAGCUAGAGUCCGGAAGGGGCGAGUGGAAUUCCUGGUGUAGCGGUGAAAUGCGCAGAUAUCAGGAGGAACACCAAUGGCGAAGGCAGCUCGCUGGGACGUGACUGACGCUGAGACGCGAAAGCGUGGGUAGCAAACAGG